rnacentral:lncRNA from 1 species
CAUCUGCAGCCCACCGGGUGACAGCCGCCCGCCCUGGUCUUCAUCCCUGGCCCCCACGCAAGGUCUAAGAGCGGCCACACCAGGUUCAGCGCCAGCUGGGACCGUGGCCACGGUGGCACCGGACGCCGCGGCAGGGGGGAGGCCCGGGCUCGGCCUCCCUGGCGCCCCGACCCUUCUCCCUGCUCCGUGCCCUGACCCUCCCCGGGCCAGCUGAGUCUGCCAAACUCAUGACGCCAAUGCCCGGCGCUGCCACGCAGCACCCCAUGGAAACGGCUUCUGCUGCCGCUGAGGCCCCGCGGAGGGGGACCCGGGCCGCGAGCCCGCUGCGCGGCGUCUCUGCCCCCCGGGCCCGGGCGCCCCCAGGCCCAGGCCUGCCUGUGGCCGCGGCGCGACGCCUGGCACGACGCCGUGGCGCGGGCGGCUCCGUCUCGUGUCAUUCGUGGCCUCGCAGCUCCCCCUGCCGGCACCUGGCUGGCUGAGCCGGGCCUCCCCCAAAGGGGUCUAGGCCCCCCCCAAAAUGGGGCCGGCUCCGGUGCCUGCUCACCAGGCUGCCCGCCCCCAACCCUACCCAGUUCCUGCGCCAGCCUCGGGGCGGGCAGCAAUGCACCAGGGAGCUUGUCCCGGGACUCCCCCAAGGCUGGGAUGCAGCCCCCCCCCCAUCGCAAUGCACCCCCCACCCGUUGCAAUGCACCUCCCCAUUGCAAUGCACCCCCCCGUUGUAAUGCGACCCCAGUGCAGGUACCCCACGUGGCAAAGCACCCCACUGCAAUCCACUCCCUGUUGCAAUGCACCCCCAUCCACUGCAGUGCACCCCCCUCAUCACAGUGCCCCCACCCCACUGCAGUGCACCCUUCUCAUUGCACUGCCCCCCUUGCAAUGCACCCCCCCAACUGCAAUGCCCCACAGGUGCAAUGCCCCCCAAUGAACCCCCAAUUGCAAUAACCCCCAAUUGCAAUGCUCCCUCAGUUGCAAUCCACCCCCAUUUGCAACGCACCCCCAGUUGCAGUGCUCCCACAGUUGCAAUGUGCCCCCCCAAUUGCAAUGCGCCCCCCCAAGUGCAAUACCCCUCCCAACUUCAAUGCCCCCAAUUGCAGUGUACCCCCAAUUGCAACAUCCCUCAAUUGCGAUGCCCUCUGUUGCAAUGCCCUCUCAGUUGCAAUGCCUCCCCAAUUGUAGUGCCCCCCCCCCACUGGAAUCCCUCCCCAAUUGGAAUGCCUCUCCAGUUGCAAUGCAUCCCCAGUUGCAGUGCCCCUUUCCGCCUGCCCCAGGCGGCGGGGGAAGCCCAGCGCACUACCGGGCCCUGAGGGGCUGCGGGACCCGCGGGGUGCUCGGCGCUGCACACGGGCAGCCCGGCGUGCAGCACGGCCGGGGAGCGCGGAGGUCCCCGGGGUGCCCGAGAGGGGCGCUAGGGCCGCGCGGACACCCGCGGCCGGUCGGGCCGGCCAGUGCGCAGGCGCCGGCGCUGCCCGCCCUCCCGAGGCUACUUC